rnacentral:rRNA from 1 species
UGGUGGAGUGAUUUGUCUGGUUAAUUCCGAUAACGAACGAGACCUUAACCUGCUAAAUAGUAAGUUGAUGCACAAUCGGCUUUACUUCUUAGAGGGACUAUGCGUAUUGAAGCGCAUGGAAGUUUGAGGCAAUAACA